rnacentral:rRNA from 1 species
UAGGGAAUAUUAGUAAUGGGCGAAAGCCUGAACUAGCAACGCCGCGUGUGCGAAGAAGGCCUUCGGGUUGUAAAGAACUUUUUGAGAGGAUGAGGGAGGACGGUACUCUCAGAAUAAGUCUCGGCUAACUACGUGCCAGCAGCCGCUGUAACACGUAGGAGGCAAACGUUAUCCGGAUUUACUGUGCGUAAAGCGCGUGUAGGUGGUUUGUGAAGUAGGGCGUGAAAGCUCCUGGCUCAACUGGGGGAGGACGUUCUAGACUGCCAAGCUUGAGGAUGGUAGAGGGAGGUGGAAUUCCGGGUGUAGCGGUAGAAUGCGCAGAUAUCCGGAGGAACACCAGUUGCGAAGGCGGCCUCCUGGACCACUCCUGACACUCAGACGCGAAAGCUAGGGUAGCAAACGG